AGACGCUAGCUGCGGGCGACAUUGUUCGGGAUGCUGGGGUGAGUCCAGCGUGGACCGCGCCACUCUCGGAAGCGUAGCCAGGAGUAGGGCUGCAGGAUGUGCAGCUGUGACCUGUCCCUGUGGACUGAAGUAGGAGGAGUGGAAUAGGGGACUGGUGACCAAUGAUAAGGCCUCGUGGGUGGGUUCUGCUUUUCCAGAAUCCUGCCCUUUCCAAAAGGAAGAUGGUAUGAUUAAGUUCCAGGAAAGGGUGACAUUCAAGGACAUGGCUGUUGUCUUCACCAAGGAAGAGCUUGCUCUAUUGGAUAAAACCCAGAUAAACCUGUACCAAGGUGCGAUGCUGGAAAACUUCAGGAACCUCAUCUCAGUGGGUCUUGCCGUUUCGCCCAGGCUGGAAUACAGUGGCACAAUCUUGGAUCACUGCAGCCUCUGCAUCACAGGAUUAAGCAAUCUUCCAACCUCAGAUUUCCAAGUAGCUGGGAUCAUAGGCAAAACCGAGACAAUUUUUAAUUUUUUUGUAGAGAUGCGAUCUCACCGUACUGCCCAGCCUGGUCUUAAUCUCCUGAACUUGAGUGACCCUCCCACCUCAGCCUCUGAAAGUGUUGCUAUGACAAGCAUAAGCCACUGCACCUGGCCAAGAUUUCUCUUAAUUUCCCUACAAUACUUGAUUUCUAAUUGGCAGCUCACAGGUUAGAAUUAUUGUUGCUCUAACUGUUUCACAUGUCAAUGGAAGCCAGGGACAACUUCCCACCCCAUCAUAUUUCAUUUUCUCAAAACCUCUGGAUAGGUGAUUCACAAAUUCUCUUUCUUCUCAUGGGACACGGGAUUAAAAAAACAUUUUGAAUCUUCAGGAAAAGGGGUUAAAUUACCUUUCUCAAGAAGUGCUUCAUUGCUGGCAGAUUUGGAAACAAAGGAUCCGGGAUUUAAGUGUGAGUCAGGAUUAUAUCAUGAACCUUCAAGAACAGUGUUCCCCUCAUUUAGAAGAUGUUUACCUCUGUGAAGAGUGGGCAGGCAUGUCUCUUCAGAUUUCUGAAAACAAAAACUAUGUAGUAAAUGCCAUUAUCAAAAAUCGAGAUAUCACAGCAUGUCAAAGCCUCACACAGGUUCUUACCCCAGAAUCUUGGAAGAAAGCCAACAUAAUGACCGAGCCCCAGAAAUCUCAGGGAAGAUAUAAGGGAAUUUACGUGGAAAAGAAAUUGUACAGACGUGCUUGGCAUGAUGACAGCCUCAAUUGGACCUCACGUGAUCAUCAUGAGUCCCAAGAAUGUAAAGGAGAGGACCCUGGUAGACACCCCAACUGUGGGAAAAACUUGAUUAUGAAAUCAACAGUUGAACAACAUGAUGCGGCCCAUGCUUUGCCACAGCCUUUCACAUGUAAUAACUGUGGGGUGGCCUUUGCAAAUGAUACAGAUCCUCGUGUCCAUCACAGCACUCACCUAGGAGAAAAAUCUUAUAAAUGUGACCAGUAUGGAAAGAACUUAAGUCAGAGCCAAUAUCUUAUCAUUCAUUGUAAAACCCACUCAGAAGAGACUCCCUAUGAAUUCCACGAAUGGCCUACAGGCUGCUAACAGAGCUCAGACUUUCCCAGAUGUCAGAAAGUCCCCUCAGGAGACAAUCCCUAGAAAUGUAAAAAAUGUGGCAAGGGCUUCAGGUGCAACUCCUCCCUUCACAACCAUCAUCGAGUCCACAAAGGGGAGAUGCCCUACAAAUGCGACUUAUGUGGGAAAGCGUUUGGAUUUACGUCACUUCUUUUUAUUCAUCAGGGAGUACACACAGGGAAAAAGCCCAACAAAUGGUGAAGAGUGUGGGAAGGGCUUUGAACAGUACUCCAACCUUCUUAUCCAUCAGAGAGUCCACACUGGAGAGAAGCGCUACAUAUCCAGUGAGUGUGGCAAGUGUUUUAGUUCAAGCUCCCUUCUUCAAGUCCACUGGAGGUUUCACACAGGGGAGAAACCUUAUAGGUGUGAUGAGUGUGGAAAGGGCUUCAGCCAAAGUACACAGCUUCACAUUCACCAGAGAGUCCACACAGGGGAGAAACCAUACAAAUGCAAUGUUUGUGGAAAGGAUUUUGCUUAUAGCUCUGUUCUUCACACUCAUCAGAGAGUUCACACUGGAGAAAAACCAUAUAAAUGUGAAGUGUGUGGCAAGUGCUUUAGUUACAGUUCAUAUUUUCACUUCCAUCAGAGUGAUCACACCAGAGAGAAAUUAUAUAAAUGUGAUGAGUGUGUAAAGGCUUCAGCCGGAAUUCAGAUCUUUAUGUUCAUCUCUGAGUCCACACAGGACAGAGACCCUAUAAGUGUAAGGCAUGUGGUAAGGGCUUCAGUCGUAAUUCACACCUCCUUGCCCAACAGAGAGUGCAUAUAUAUGAGAUACAGCACACACAUUGUGAGCAUGGCAAAGACCUUCUGACUCAUCAAAGACUACAUGAGCAGAGAGAAACAUUAUAAACGUAGUAAGUCAGGGUUAAAUUAGGAAAACAGAAGCCACACUGUAUUCCAGAUAAUAGAAGCUUACUCAGCCUGUGGGAGGGCUGGGGGAGCAAAAGACAGGGACACUGCCAUCGACAAUGUCAGCCCGCAGCACUGGGGUGUGCCAGGCAAGUAUUGUGGAUUUCAAGAACUUCUGUAUGCUACAAUGGCAAAGUAGGUUACUCUUGACAAAUGGGUGGUUUGUGGUAGUGUUUGUAGUUAGAGGUAAAAUUUCCAUUAAAGGGUGUAUCCAGGAAAAAAAUUCUAAUUGGGAUGAUUAUGGUAAGGUCUUCAGUUUAGCCAAAGUCCCUAGAUUUUUUUUAGUCCCCAACGGAAAAAUACUCUCUGUAUGAAGAAUAUUCAAAAGUGUGCUCGGAAAUGAAACCAAUGCUCUUACUAUGAAAGAAUAUUAGUACUCAGGUUUUCUAUGAGAUUCUCUGCACAGGCAAGAAGCUCUGCAGAAGUGACAUUUGAAGGAUGCGGCAAAGGCAGUGCUGUAUUAAUCACACUGGUUCCAUUUCCUUGCAAAUAAGAAGAUUCUAUUCCUCAGUAACUCUUGCAGUUAAGAGUGUGCCCAUGUUUGAGUUCUAGCCAAUGGAGUGUGAGCAAAAGUGAUACAAGCCACUUUCAGGUCUAGCCUUUAUAAACAUCCUCAGGCUUCUCUAUCCCUGCCAAGGUGACCUUGGAAGCUGCUUAUUCCAGACUGGGUCGAUAGAAGGUCGCUAUCUGAUCUGUGUUGGCUUUCUUUUUAGAGUAAGAAAUAAAAAUUCAUUGUGUCUCACCACUGAGAUUUUUAGUGAUUUAUUUGUUACUGCAGCAUUGCCUAGGCCAUCCUGACUAGCAUGGAGGGAUUUUAUAGCAAUAUGUUUCAUUGUCAUUGGAGUCCACAUACAGAAGCAACAUUGUAAUUCAGAGUUCAAAGCUUUUAAGUCUUUAAGGCUUGAUGUGGCAGUACAACCAUCUAAAAUGGUAUGGAUGGGACUUCUCCAGUGAUAACCUUCAUUCUUUGGUGUGUACACCAAAAAGAAAUGUUCAAGAUGAUAUAGCUGUGGUAAAACUUUACUGAAAAGUACAACCCACAGACGUAAGAAAUCUCAUACAAUAGAGAAACUCUGUAGGGUGGGAGCUGAAUAAAUUUGUCAGCUCACACAUUAAGUGCGAUUAAAAAUUAACUAGAAUAGGUGUUCUGUGGUUAGUCUUAAUAAAAUUAAUUGAAUAAAGCUAACAUUUACUAAAGUGAGCAAUAACAUGUAAAAAACCAACAGUGUUCAUUUCAGACUGAUGCAGUCUUCUUCUCAGCAGACUUGUAUAAUAAUGGGUUUUUAAAGGGUGCUCUUUCUGUCAGUUUCCUCCCAAAAUUGUCAUUUAAUUGGGGAUAACAGAUGAAUUCGAGAGGCGAUCUCUUUGCUCUUUUUUUUUUUUUUUUGGAAACAGGGUAUUGCUCUGUCACCCAGGUGGCUGGAGUGCAGUGGCCUGAUCAUGGCUCACUGCUGAAGCCUUGAACUCCUGGGCUCAAGUGAUCCUCCUGCCUCAGCCUCCUGAGUAGCUGGGAGUACAGGCAUAUACCACCAUGUUCAGCUAAUGUUUUCUUUAAAAAAUUUACUUGUAGAGAUGGGGUCUUGCUUUAUUUCCCAGGUUAGUCUCAUUCUUGUUUCAAGUGAUCUUCCUACCUCAGCUUCCCAAAGUGCAGGGAUUACAAGUGUGGGCUACUGCACUCAGCCCACAAUGUCUUUUAUUUUUUCUUCAAAAACAAUAUCCUUUUUUGUUUUAAUUGACUUAUAGGUUUCUUCAUUUGGAUCAUGGUUUAUUCCUAGUUUUUCCUUCAUUACAUUUUCCUGCCAGUUAUAGUUUGUAAAUAGAAUAGCCAGUCAAGUGCAAAUAAAACCAACCCUGAAGUGUCAUUUUCUUACUGAUCAGGUGGAUAAGAGUGAAGUAUUUUAAAAAUUCUAUGUCAGUAGAAAUGAGGAAAUGAGUGUUCUUACAUAAGUUGGUGGGGAAAAAAACAGGUACAAAGUUGCUGGAGAGGAUCUUGUCUAUAUAUAUCAGAUGUACAAUUUGCAUUGUCUUUGAGCCAAUGAUCCUCCUCAGAAUGUAUUUUUAGGAUGUAAUUACAUGAGUGGAAAAAUAUGGUUUCAGAAAGAAAUAUAUUCUAAGAAUUUUGCAAUGAGAAGACCGUAAACAACCUGAAGCUUCAUGUGUAAGAAUUAAGUAAAUUAAGGCAUCCCAUAUAAUGGAAUAACAUGGCUCCAUCAACAAUGAUCUAGAUCUAUAAACAUGUCCACAUAUUAUUGUCCAUGUCCACUACAUACUCCAGUCUUCCUACGCAGACAGUAGGUUAGAGAAAAAAUCUGGGACACACAUUAUCCCAGGAAGCUUUUGGGGUUUACAAUGGGUGCUACAUUCCCUCAUGACAGACUCAGCCCUCAGCCUUGGUGGAGGUGUCCCAGGCAAUCCUCCAGUUUGGUCAGGAGCAGCCCUUGCAUAUCACAUUAAGGUUUUUAAAUAUAUGAUGCUAACAGGAUUGUCUCCCUACUUCAUAACAUUGUUUGCUUUUCCUCUUGUAACAAAGUAGCAUGGAAAAAGCAGAAAUUAGUCUAGCACCCAAUCAGUGGGAGCCAAUCUCAUUUACAAAUGUAGAUGCAGAGAUCCUAAAUAAAUAUGAGCAUGUCAAAUCCAAUGAUUUGAUAAAAGCAUAACAGACUCUGCUCAUGUAUAAUUUAUCCUAAAUAUGCUUAUCAGCUUCCGCCUCAUAACACACACAAGAACUGAGUAGCUCUAAAUACAAAUUUAUUUAGCUCAUGAUGUGUGAGCUGGCAAGUUCAGUUGGCCUUAGCUGGGCAGUUCUGGUGUGGGACAUGCUAGAUUAUCUUAACUGGGCUUUGUGCAUGUGUCUGCAUUCAGCUGAUGGCUCAUCUGGGCCUGGCUGUUUUAUGAUGGUCAUAGAUGAGACAAUGAAGUUCUCUCUGUCAUCAUGGUCUCUCAUCCUCCAGAAGACCAAUCUAGGGUUGGUCCCAUAGUGUCAGGGUUUCAAGAGCAAAAACUGUGAUCUCUUAAGGCCUCAUCAGAGAACAGGCUCAAUGAUACUUCCACCGCAUUCUAAAGAUUAAAGCAAGUCACAACACUGGCCUAGAUUCAUGCGGUGGGAUUAAGACAAGAUAAAAAAUGUUGAGACAUAAUCAUUGGAAGGAAAACGAAGGUACUAUUUUUAUGUUAGAGAAUAAUGUUAUUUACUUACAAAAUUCAAAUUCGCCUGUAAACUGUGACCAGUUUAAGUCUGUUUUAAAAUUAUCAGGUCAAAACAUUGGUUUCACACAAAAUUGGCACAUGAAAAUUCAUAGCAUCACUAUGUAAGUGUCUUUUAUAAAAUGUAGCCAAAAUGUUUCCUUCACAAUAACAAUUGUGUGCAAAGACCAGAAUUGUCCAAAGGUAAUUCUGGGAGUUCCCUUUGGGAUGCCUAGGUGAGGAACUAUCUGGAGCCUCAGACUCCCACAUUCUUCAGUGGGAAGGGCUUUACAUGAGCUCAACUUCCCAGCGGCUUUCUCUUUCUGAUGGGAGGUGUUAGGACCUGGCUUUCUCAUGCAAGUUCUGUGAAGCUCUGACAACUAAAGCCAGAUUGUCUGUUUUAGUCAAUAUGUCAGAUCAGUUAGUCAUUUGAUCUGACAACUAAAGCCAGAUUGUCUGCUUUAAUUAAGUAGUCCAGAUUACCUUCAUAGUCAAUUAGUUCCCCCACCAACAUGGAUGCCUUCACAAUUGCUCUUUAAGAAGGAUAAAAGCAUAGGGGUAAGGUGUGGUCUAUCUCCUGCUUCACCCAGGCCCUGGUGCUUCUUCAAGUGGUGAGAGAAAUUGUGGUCCUGUGCGUUCUCUUCCAGACCCUUAGCUUGUGUGUUUUCCCUAUAAAACUUCGUCCUAAUCCCAGCACUUUGGGAGGCCGAGGUGGGUGAAUCACGAGAUCAGGAGGAUGAGACCAGCCUGGCCAACAUAGUGAAACUCCGUCUCUACUAAAAAUACAAAAAAUUAGCUGGGCAUAGUGGCAGGCACCUGUAAUCCCAGAUACUCAGGAGGCUGAGGCUUGAACUCAGGAGGUGGAGGUUGCAAUGAGCUGAGAUCGCACCACUGCACUCCAGCCCAGGCGACAGUGAGAGACUCUGUCUCAAAAAAAAAAGAAGUCCCUUAUGUGUGAUGAUAAAAUUUGAUGAAGAGCAACAUUUGUGGACUUACACUACCAGAGAUCAGCAUUUAUUAUAAAUUUUCUAUAAUUAAUACAGUGUAGUUUUAGCUCAGGAGAGAAAAAAUAGAUCAAUGGAAAAGAAUAGGGAGUCCAAAAAGAGAUCCACAUGUAUAGAGUGAGUCAGUUUAUAAGCCUUGAAAUAUGUUGGAGAAAUAAUAGUCAUUUUAAUAACUGAUGCUGGGUUCACUGGCUAUUUAACACUAGUUCUUCAUAAAAUUGCAGGUAAUAAAUAAAAAUAACAUGCAGCUGGAAGACUGGGAUCAGUGGCUGUGCCUCCACUAGACUGCCCAUAGAAGCACAUAGUAACAGCUACCAAAGGUGUCUGAUCUGUCUUGUCAUUUUUUUAACUCAUUUUGUUCAGGUGUAAUUUACAUAAAGUGCAGAUUUUAACGACAUUUGUUUUAAAAAUGUACAUAUCCUUGUGAAUAAUGCCCAUUCAACAGUUUAAACAUUUUCUUUACCCCAAAAAUUUCCCUUGUGCCCUUUUCCCUUCGUUUCUUUCCAAAAAAGGAUAUAAUCACUGUUUUGGUUUCUAUCACCAUAUGUUGGUUUUGCCUAUUCUUGAACUCUAUAUAAAUUAAGUCAUACUGUAAUAUACUUUUGUAUUUGGCUUUUUUUCAUUCAACAUGGUUUUCUAAAUUAGUAAUUUAUAAUAAAGCAUAUUGCAUAUUUUAUUAUUGUUUAUGAAUUGUGUUCUAAAAACAUUCUAUGUUAGUAAAAUUUAUAGUAAACUUGUAUAAUGUACAUACUUUUCUUUCUGGAGAGCCAUUUAUUAAACAUUUAUUAGCAUACCACUAACAGAGGAGAUGUAACCCCAGAAUUGGCCUUUUUCUUCUGAAGUCAACUGGCUUUGAAUUAGAAUGUAGCAUUAGUUAUUAUUCCUCAUUCUCCACUCAUUCUCUGUAUCUACUUCCCUUAUUUUUUUCUUUUAUUUUUCUGCAGACACUAUGGUUACUUAAGUGUCUACUUCUCUUUUUCUGCAUGUCUUUGAGUGGAGACACUGGUCACCUUUGUUCCCCACUGUCUUUUCAAAGAUGCAUUUUAGGGAACAAAAAUAUAGCGUCUCCCUCUAGAGCAGUAGAUUUGUUUAUUGCCCACUCUAGUGAAGACAGUGUCUCCCUCUAGGGUGAAGGGCAGUGGUUUUGUUCCCAUGGGCUAUCAUAAAAGAUUCAGGUUUCCUAAGCUUAGGGUUCUAUUCCUACAACGCAGCCCGCUAGGCCUGCAGCACCUGGCCUUCCAUGUCACUCUAUGGGAUUAGAAUGCCAAAAAUCAUUGCAAAGAAUGACACUCUGGCUACUGCUGUGGUUGUGACUAAUAAAGUCCUUUGUCUCAGAGCCAGGAGUCUCUUGUCUUGUGCCAGCAUCUGUGAGACUGUCAGGCUAACUUUUGAGCUCAUAAAUUGGUUACUUUCAGAUCCUUGGUUUUUGAUGGAAAUAAAUGUCUCUUAAUCUUAGAUGCAAACUAGAGCUACCUGGAAUGCUUUCAGCUUUUUACAAUUUUUUACUGGUGAAAUAUACAUAACAUGAAAUUUACCAUCUUCACCAUUUUUAAGUGUGUAGCUUAGUAGUGUUGAGUACAUUUACAUUGUUGUAAGACCAGUCUCCAAAACUCAUUUUAUCUUGCAAAACUAAAACUCUAUCCCAUUCAAGAGCAACCCUCAAUUUUCCCCUGCUCCCAGCCACUGGCAACCACUAUACUUUGUGUCUCUAUGCAUUUGACUUCUCUGAGUCACAUAAAUGGAAUCAUACAGUAUUUGACUUUUUUUUUUUUUGAAAUGGAGUCUCGCUCUGUCGCCCAGGCUAGAGUGCAGUGGUUCCAUCUUGGCUCACUACAAGCUCCGCCUCCAGGGUUCACGCACGCCAUCUUCCUGCUUCAGCCUCCUGAGUAUCUGGGACUACAGGCACAUUCCACCACGCCCGGCUAAUUUUUUGUAUUUCUAGUAGAGAUGGGGUUUCCCCAUGUUAGUCAGGAUGGUCUCGAUCUCCUGACCUUGUGAUCCACCCACCUCGGCCCCCAAAAGUGCUGGGAUUUUACAGGCGUGAGACACCACACCCGGCCCAGUAUUUGCCUUUUUGUUACUGGCUUAUUUAACUUACCAUAAUGUCCUUAAGGUUAAUUUGUGUUGUAGAAUAUGUCAGAAUUUUCUUCCUUUGUACACUUGGGUUUCUUCCACUUUUUGGGUACUGUGAAUAAUGCUGUUAUGAACAUAGGAGUACAAAUAUCUCUUCAGGACCUUGCUUUCAAUUCUUUUGAACACAUACCUCAAAGUGGAAUUACUGGAUCAUAUGAUAAUUGUAUUUUCAAUUUUUUCAGGAUCUGCCAUUCUGUUUUCGAUAGAAGCUGCCACCAUUUAACAUAAGGAUUUUAACUUCAUUUAUAUUAUUAUGCUUGUCAUCUUCUUUUUAUGUUCAGAGUAAUCAGGAAAUUACCAGUUUGCCCAUUCUCACGUUGGUGAACAUCUGUUUCCAGGUUUUGGAAAUUUUGAAUUAAGCUACUAAGAAUAUACUUGUAUUCGCGUUUUUGCAGACAUAUGCUUUGAUUUCUCUUGGAUAAAUACCUAAGAGUUGAAUUGCUGUCACAGGCUAAGUGUAGGUUAUUUUUAUGAAGAAUUGCCUGUCCUUGUCAAUUAACAUAAAGAAUGAGGUACUUUACUGUUCACUUAAAUUCUUUAUGUGGUUGGGCUGUGUGGGGCGGCACAUACCUGUAACAUACCUGUAGUCCCAACUACUGGGGAGGCAGAAGGAUGACUUGAGGGCAGGAGUUUGAGGCUAUUGGGUGCUACAAUCAUGCCUGUGAAUAGCCACUGCACUCUAGCCUGGGCAACUUAGUUAAAAAAUUAUGUGGUUAAAAUUUCAAUAUGUUUGUAAAAUUUUUGUAUAAUGAUUUUGUAAAAGAAAACUUUCCCAUACUCCCAGACACUAAUUAUUUUCAAAACAUGAAGAAUAUGUUUUAAACGGUGUCAGGCACAAGUCUAAUUUUAAUUUUUUCCAUUUGGAUAGUCAAGGCUUUCAACAUUUAUUGACGAGUCCCUUUUUUAUUUACUGAUCUUAAAGGUCACAUUUAUACUACACUAGGUAUAUCCAUUCCCAGAGUCUCCUAUCUUCCAUGUUUAUUACUGAAAUCUCUGACCUUUUUUUUCUUUUUUUUGAGAUAGAGUCUUGCUCUGUCACCAGGCUGGAAUGCAGUGGCACGAUCUUGGCUCACUGCAACUUCCGCUUCCUGGGUUCAAGUGAUUCUCCUUCCUCAGCUUCCUGAGUAGCUGGCAUUACAGGCGCCCACCAUCAUGCCCAGCUAAUUUUUGUAUUUUUAGUAGAGAGGAGGUUUCAUCAUGUUGGCCAAGAUGUUCUCCUGACCUCAUGAUCCACCCACCUCGGCAUUCCAAAGUGUUGGUAUUACAGGCAUGAGCCACCAUAACCAGCCCAUUUUUGUUUAUUCUCAAACCACUAUCUCACAUCUUUAAGAAUUAUACUUUUGGUACAAGGCAAGUAAGAGUGAAUAUGCUAAGUGUCUGUUUAACUUUACCAUUUCUAAAAAUGACUAUACCACUUUAUACUUCCAUUAGCAAUCAAUGCAAGAUCACUUGUUCUAUAUGCUAACCAACACUUGGGAUUUUUAGCCAUUGGGAUUAUUUGUAGUGUUAUCUCACUGUUGUAUAAUUAGCAUUUCUCUGAUAAGUAAUGAUGUGGUUAUCAGUCAUUUUAUCAUGUGCUGAUUGGUCAUUUUAUAUCUUCUUUGGAAAAGAACUUUUGAAAGUUUUGCUGCUUUUUGUUGGUUUGUUUCCUUAUUGUUGGGUUGUAAGAUUUCUUAAUAUAGCCUAGAUACCAAUUCUUUCUCAGAUAUAUACAUUAUGAAUAUUUUUCCUAGUCUUGGGUUGCCUCUUCAUUUUGUUAAUGAUGUCUUUAAGAGAGGAAGUCAAUUUGAUGAAGUUCUGGUUUAUCUUUUUAAAUUAGAUUUUGUGCUUUAUUUUGCCUACCUAUGAAAUCUUUUUUUGCCUAUCGCAAGGUUUUGAAAAUUUUCUCUUAUAUUUUCUUGUAUAAUAUUUGUAGUUUUAGCUUUUCAUUUAGGUCUGUUACCUAUUUUGAGUUCUUUUUGUGUAUGAUGUGAGGUAAGUGUUGAGGUUCAUAAUUUUCGAAUAGAUAUCCAGGUGUUCUGUGCUAUUGUUUGAAACAACUGUCCUCCAUCGUAUUAUUUUUGUGGCUGCACCGAAAAUAAACUGAUCAUAUGUACUUGGCUCUAUUUUCUGGAAUCACUUCUGUUCCACUGAUUUAUGUAAAUAUUAUUAAGCUAUUGCUAUGUUUUGACUACUGGAGCUUUAGAAUAAGUUUUGAAAUCUGAUACUGUUAUUCCUCUAAUGAUGUUCUUCCUUUUCAAAACAAUUUUGACUAUUCUAGUUUUUUUAGUUGGCUGUUUUUGGCAUUUCUAUGUAAAUCUUAAUAUUAGUUUCUGCAAAAACCUGCUGUAAAUUUGAUUGAUAUUGUGUUGACUUUAUAGAUCAGUUUUGAAUUCUGGUUCUGGGUAAGAUGGAGUAAGCCAGUGGCUGGGAAAUUCUGGCCUAAUGGCUAAAUAUGGUGUACUGACUGUUUUUAUAUACCCCCAUGAAGUAAUAAUGGCUUUUGCAUUUUUUAUUGAGACAGAGUCUCACUCCAUCACCCAGGCUGGAGUGUAGUGGCAUGAUCUUGGCUCACUGCAGCAUCAACCUCCUGGGAUCAAAAAAUCCUCUUAUCUUAACUUCCUGAGUAGCUGGGACUAUAAGCAUGCACCACCAUGUCCAGCUAAUUUUUUGCAUUUUUGUAGCGAUGGGGUUUUACCAUGUUGCUUAGGCUGGUCUCAAACUCCUGAGCUCAAGCAUUCUGCCCUCCUCAGCCUGCCAAAGUGCUGGGAUUCCAGGUGUGAGCUACCACACCCAGCCUACAUUUUUAAAUAGUCAAAAAAAUCAAAAGAAGAAUAUUUUAUGACAUAUGAUAAGUAUAUAAAAUUCAAAUUUCAGCAUUCAUAAAUUUUGGUUGAAACAGUCAUGCUUAUUUGUUUGCAUAUUGUCUGUGGCUAUUUUCAUGUUAUAUUGGUACAGUUGUGUACUUAUGAUAUAGACAAUAUAUAAUGCUCUCAUCACUUCAUACUGCUACUCAGUGUAGCAUAAAUCACAGUAACACAGUUAUUACAAAUUAUCAGAUUUUUGAGUGCCAUAUGUAUCACUCUACUAUGAUAUUUUAUUUAUUUUGCAUAUCCAUCAUGUCAAAACAAGAAGAGAAAAUCAAAUUUUGAAUGUUAUGCUUUUAAGGUAUAGUAAAGUGUAGAUUAUUUUGUUAUAGAAUCAGAUGGCUGACUUUUGUGUUUGUUAUGCAAUGACAGCUGCACAAGAAGAAAAAUUUUAUAACAUUAAUACUGCCAGAUUAAAACCUUAUCCCAAUAUUUCCAAAUCACAGAUAAUUAUGACCAUAAAUAAAAAAUUUAAAAUGGAAUAUCUUAUGAAAGCAGAAUUACUUUUAUAAAAUAACAAAUGAAAAUGAGGCUAUAACCAAAGUAAAUUUUAGAGUGGCUAAUCUGUUAAGCAAGAAAAGUUAUUUACUGAUGAUGAGUUAGUUGAAUCAUAUUUUGCAGCAGCUGAAUAAAUGUAUCAUAUAAAUUUGUCUAAGACUAUAAGCCUUUUGACAAGGAUAAUUUCUGAAAAAGUUGAGAACAUUGGGAGCAGCACUGAUAGUCACUUUAAAAAGAAGAUCAUAAAAAAUUCCCAAUUAUUGUUGCCAGUGGUGAAAAUUUAUCAGCCAUAAGUGAACACAAAACAAAACAAAAAUGAAAGACAAAAUUAGAAGAAAAUUAAAAUGAGAAAAACAGAGGAUCAACACAUUUCUAUUGCCACUUUGUAUUUACCUCUGGGAGCCAAGAGAAUGCAACUGGGCUUAAGACCAUCACUGAGGUGUACUUUUCUGGUGACAAACAUCACCUGGAUUUGUUACAUCAAUCUAUUUGGCAUCUCUGUGGGACCCCCAAAACUGUUAACAAAAUAAUUUUCAAAAAAUAAAAUCAUAACUCUUACACAGGUAUGAAAAGACCACCUAGGGAGUGAUAGACUAUUUGCAAAUCAUAUAUGUGUAAAAGUCUUGUAUAGAGAACAUAUAAAGAACUCUCAAAACUCAAUAAGAAAACAAUUCAAUUUUUUAAGCUAAAAGAUUUAAACAAACACUUCACUGAAAAAGAUAUACGUAUGACAAAGGGGCACAUGCAAAGAUCAUCAACAUCAUUAGUCAUUAGGGAAAUAUAAAUCAAGACCACAAUGAAAUAUCACUACACAUCUAUUAGAACAGCUAAAAUUAAAAAUAGCAACAAUGUCAAACUCUGGCAAGGAUGUAAAGAGACUGGAAGUCUCAUAAGUUUCUGUUGGGAAUGCAAAGUAGUAGAGUCACUCCAGAAAACAGUUUAGAGUUCCUUAAAAAAUUAAACAUAUCCUUACCAUACCACCCCAUAACUUCAAUCCUGGACAUGUACUCCAGAGAAAUGAAAGUUUACAUACACAAACAAAUGUACACAAACCUGUACAUGAAUGUUCAUAGUAGCUUUAUUCAUAAUGGCAAAAAACUGGAAACAACCAAAAUGUUCCCUAAUAGGUAAAUGUUAAACAAAUCGUGGUACAUCCGUACCGUGGAAUACUACUCAGCAAUAAAAAUGAAUGGACUACUGAUACACACGCAACUUAGAGGGAUCUUAAGAUAAUUAUGCUAAGUGAAAAAUGUGAAUCUAUUUUAUGGUUCUAGUUGUAUAACACUCUUGAAAUGACCAAAUUAUAGAGAUAGAAAGCAGAUUAGUUGUUUCUAGAUAUCAGGAAUGGUGGAAGGGUGGAGACUGGGUGUGACUAUCAAGAUGUAGCAAGAAGGAGGGCUUUGCAGUGAUGAAAUAGUUAUUUAUCUUGAUUGUGGUAGUAGCUAUAUCAGUCUACAAGUGAUAACAUACAACUACACAUAUUCAUGGUAUCAAUAUAAUUCCCUGGUUUUGAUGUUGUAUUUUAAUUAAGGACAGUAUAAUCAUUGGGUGAAACUGGGUGAAGGGUACGUGGGACCUCUUUCUACUAUCUUUUCAAUUUCAUAUGAAUCUGUGAUUAUUUAAAAAAAAAGUUAAAAAAAUAAUUGGAUGGUUAGGAUCUCUAUAGAGGAUUUUAUUUAUUUAUGCCAGAUUUACAAGCAAUACAGGGUCAGGGAUUGAGUUGACUUGGAUUUGGAUUUGAAUACCUGCCAGGUUGGACCUACUUCCCAUUCAACUUUACUCCUAGGAUGCAGCCCUUUGGUGUUCCAUACACAAAACCCAAGUGUUUUUUUUUUU